AGUGAACGCUGGCGGUAGGCCUAACACAUGCAAGUCGAACGGCAGCACAGUAAGAGCUUGCUCUUACGGGUGGCGAGUGGCGGACGGGUGAGGAAUACAUCGGAAUCUACUUUUUCGUGGGGGAUAACGUAGGGAAACUUACGCUAAUACCGCAUACGACCUACGGGUGAAAGCAGGGGAUCUUCGGACCUUGCGCGACUGAAUGAGCCGAUGUCGGAUUAGCUAGUUGGCGGGGUAAAGGCCCACCAAGGCGACGAUCCGUAGCUGGUCUGAGAGGAUGAUCAGGCACACUGGAACUGAGACACGGUCCAGACUCCUACGGGAGGCAGCAGUGGGGAAUAUUGGACAAUGGGCGCAAGCCUGAUCCAGCCAUACCGCGUGGGUGAAGAAGGCCUUCGGGUUGUAAAGCCCUUUUGUUGGGAAAGAAAAGCAGCAGGUUAAUACCCCGCUGUUCUGACGGUACCCAAAGAAUAAGCACCGGCUAACUUCGUG
rnacentral:rRNA from 1 species